UAAGACAGAAGAGGAACUGGAUAUUUAUGGGUGGAUGCCAGUGAGUCUAACAGCCCCUCUUCAGUGAGUCCCCAGAGCUGCCCUACUAACUCCCUAUGCCAUUCCUGUGUCCAAGGGAGGUGGUCAUGGAGGUGCUCCUCAACUCCUCAGCUGACAGUGUCAGCAUGAUCUGGAUAAGCCAUCCUCAUACUUUGCCACAGGUAUCGUGUAGGGCAUAUUUCAUACCUCAUGAUCACUCAAUUUCAAGUCAGGUGGCAGAGUUUAUCAUGUUUGAUGAUGUGCACGUCAAAAUCUCACAGGCAUAUGGGCACUGAAACUGAAAAUCAUUAGAUGUUUAUGGAAAUGCUGCUUGCGUCCUUUGUCCAUCUUUCCAUUACUGCCAGAUAAGAUUCAUGUGACCAAGGCUUUCAUUUGGGAAUCAGUGACAACACCUGUUGGUGAUCUUCUCAAGAAGCUCACUUACACCUGAACAUUUUGUAACUUCAGCUUAUCCAUGUGCUGCUCAAAAUAUGCCUUCCUUCACUCUAAGGAUCUCAGUCUUGGCACUGGGAGACACCACAACCCGGUACUUUCCCAAGAAAUCAGAUUCUUUUCCUAGUGAUGUCCAUCUUAGGCAACUUUAUCCCUGCUUUGACACGAAAUAAGUUGCUUUCUAGGUCUGCACAGAGUGGGCCAACUUCUACUGUGGCUUUGGAACCAUUUCUGAAGUUCUUUCUUCAGAAGUAAACCUUCAUUUAAAAAUAUGGUUUGUUGAAUAAACAUUUUUGGGGGCAAUUCCCUGUUUUACAUGAGUGUUGAAGACCAUAGCGGUAUUGCUAUAAAGCAUCAGACUGGAUCAUAUUCAUGAGCAAAUGAAAAAAAUGCCUAGAUUUAUAGACAAUGUUAAUAUCUUUGACAAAUAUCCACUACUUCAGCUCUCAUGUUUGCUUUUUACUUAUGUACUUGCACUAAUAAUGUUCUCUUGAAGAAGAAAAAGCACCUGAGAUAGUUCACUUUGCCAGUCAUUCCUGAAUGGUUUGUCAGCAUGUGAUUAUGAACUGUCUUUAAAGUCGUGGUGUAAUACCUUCACUAAUUUCUCUACUGUUAAACAGUGGGUAAGAACUGAAUUGCUACCACUGGGUAGGAUUUUAAUAAAGAUCUU